rnacentral:rRNA from 1 species
UACGGAGGAUCCAAGCGUUAUCCGGAUUCAUUGGGUUUAAAGGGUCCGUAGGCGGGUCUUUAAGGCAGUGGUGAAAGCCGACAGCUCAACUGUCGAACUGCCAUUGAUACUGGAGACCUUGAGUACAAAUGAAGUAGGCGGAAUGAGUCAUGUAGCGGUGAAAUGCCUAGAUAUGACUCAGAACACCGAUUGCGAAGGCAGCUUACUAACUUGUAACUGACGCUGAGGGACGAAAGCGUGGGGUGCGACCCGG